AUUGAACGCUGGCGGCAGGCCUAACACAUGCAAGUCGAGCGGAUGAAAGGGGCUUGCUCCUGGAUUCAGCGGCGGACGGGUGAGUAAUGCGCAGGAAUCUACCUCGUAGUGGGGGAUAACGUUUCGAAAGGAACGCUAAUACCGCAUACGUUCUGAGGAAGAAAGCAGGGGACCUUCGGGCCUUGCGCUAUGAGAUGAGCUUGCGUCCGAGUAGCUAGUUGGUGGGGUAAAGGCCUACCAAGGCGACGAUCGGUAACUGGUCUGAGAGGAUGAUCAGUCACACUGGAACUGAGACACGGUCCAGACUCCUACGGGAGGCAGCAGUGGGGAAUAUUGGACAAUGGGGGCAACCCUGAUCCAGCCAUGCCGCGUGUGUGAAGAAGGCCUCGGGUUGUAAAGACACUUAAGUACGGGGAGGGAAGGGACGUUGAGGCGUAUAAUCCUUGAGCAUUGACGUUACCCGACCAGAAUAAGCACCGGCAAACUUACGUG
rnacentral:rRNA from 1 species